AGUAUAGUCUAAGAUCGGUGCAACGACACCAUCAGGGGAGAGAGAAAAAAGAACCACCCCCCACAUUAAUACGUCCCUGGCGCAACCCUCGCUGCACCGGCUCGGCUAUAUAGAGGGCAGUUUGCGCCUGCGCAGUACAUCGGAUCAAUCCAUACCGUCCGCCUCCGUCUCUCUCUUUCUCUCUCUCUCUCUUGCUCGGAGGAACUUGCGCAGCGACGUCGUUCGCUCCUGGCGCUGCAAGCUCCUACGUCGCAGACGUGCGCCACCGGCAGCAGGACGUUCUUCCUCGUCGUCCGCUAAAGCGAUAUCGUUGAAUCCCUCCUCGUCAUCAUGUGAGUGUCUCCGAGUCAGAAGUACCUACACGAGAGAAGCAGUGGUUCCAGCUUGUGUUUGCUGGAUUUUCUGGAGGGAAGAGAGAGAGAGAGCGAUGGAGAGGAAGUGAGGAAGGCAAGAAGAGCCAAGUGAUUCUCGAGGAGCUAAAAUGGCGAGGCACAGGUAUUACGAGGACGACGAGGAGUUCCGCUACGGGCUGAGGUAUCAGGAGGAUCUGCAGGAGAACGAGAAGGGAGAGCCCUCGGCGAGAGCCUCUUCUGCGGGCGAUAGCAAGAGCGCGUCGAAGAGGGGCGCGCCACACACACGGGGCACCGCCAUAUCCUUCGGCUUCCGCCGGCGCCCGGCGGCCACCGGCAUUCCCGUCCCCGUAGCCAAGUACCAGGAGACCAGCAGCUCGGCGGCUCACCAGCGCUCCAAGUCCGUCGGUCCCGAGCACGAGUCGGCCCGGCGUCGCCAGGCCGACGAGGACUUCUGCCAGCCGUCCUCCCGCUACCAGAACUACUCGUCCUCCGGCAGGUCGACUCCGCGACUGGCUCCGCCCAAGAAGGCCCAGGAGUCCAGCGGACUGCCCGUCAGGACCAACAGAUUCGGCUUCCGAACCCAGCAGCAGAGGUUCACCGAUAAAGUCACCGACCUCUCCUUCAACAAUCACAGCGUCAGGGAUUUCGGGCACCAGGAGAAGCUCGACCAGUUCCAGAGCGUUCACCAGGAGGAGGCGAGCUUCAGGGCCAGGCAGAACAGGUCGCCGGCCCAGCCGAAGCCCAGACCGUCGCCCAUCAAUCAGCCGAGCUACAACAACAACCUGAACAACAAUGUCGACGCCAACAGGAGGGGCUCGGACAUACCGACGCCGGUGGGAAAGUACACGCUGCACUCGUCCCACCUGCCGCUGCCGCAGUACGCCGUGAGGAUGAGCGACGCCAGCUCCAAGAUCGCCAAGACCGUCGCCAACCAGAGUCGCAAGGUUGGAGUCUCCUCGGCCAGGGCCACAACAGCAGGCACCUGCAGCUCGAAGGAGGGCUCCGGAACCGAGGACUCCGGAGUCGGCAGCCAACACGGCGGCUGCUCCGACGAGAAUGGCGCCGGCGGAAGGUCCAGGUACGAGUACUACGAGAGCACGAGGCGACAGCCCAGGAAGCUGGGUCUCACGAUCACCGGCAAGAGCUUCGACGUGCGAGACGUCGACGACGAGGAUCACACCGUCACCGAGAUAUCCGUCAUCCCGCUGCCCAAGAACUUUGCUCAGCAGCAGCUCCAGCAAGCCGCCAGCGCGCACCAUCGCAGCCUCAGUCACCAGCUGAACACCGGCCUGGUGCGGGAGAGGACUAACCAGUACCAGCGAGCCAUCCUCAGCAAGGACAAUAGGUUCAACGACUCGACGACCUCCAUGUCCACCACCUCGUCCGAGGGCUACGACGAAGGCUUGGGAGAGGAGAAGGCUUACAAAGACAGAUCACGCUCGGAGAAGCUCGCCGCGACCUCCUCGUGCUCCUCGUCCGUGAUGAUGCGUUCGACCGACCUGAGUCCCCCCAGUUCCGACGAACAGGAGUUCGGCCACGGAGGCGAGGCCAUGGCCGACGAGUACUCCUUCAGCUCCAACGAGGACUACAACCAGAGGAUGGAGAGCCUGGCCAUCAACACCGUCACCCAGACGACCAGCCAGCACAUCAAGGCCAUCUCGAACGCGGCCAAGAGCGGAGCUCUGCCCAAGAGCACACUGCGCUCGGUGAUGCUGACCAUCGAGGACCCGGCGUUCGCGGCCGUGGCGGCGACCACCACGACCCUCAUCGAUGACGAGACUUCGCCGGUCGACAGUCUCUUCGACAGCCCCACCGCCAGCGUCUCCCAGUCCGACGUAAAGCUGCCCAAGAAGGAGAACAUCAACGUCAUGGAGAGGUCGGGGAACACCAUCGAGGACGACAGUCCCGGCACGCCGACCAACGCUUCGAACUCGCUGAGCUUGUCCGAGGGCAGGGAGUACUUCGACGACGAGAUCGCCGACCAGCCGGGACUGGUGUUCGACGAGACGCUCAGGGAUGCAUCGACCGCCAAUACGGACCACAGUCAGACUGUCCUGGAGACUCAACCCAAAAUUAACGCACUGCAAGGCCGGAGCGUGGAGAACAGUCCGAUGCACGGGCGCAAGAUGAAUCGAGCUGGCAGCGUCAGCACAUUGUCUUCCUGCGAGUCUCUCGCCUCGGACGAUCUGAUGAUGGACUACGAGCGCAGCGACGCCAGCUCCUUCGGAGACGUCAAUACUCGGGGAAAUUCAACAUUCGUCAUGCAAGACUUGGAUGACGCAACGAGUCUUCUGGAGCUAGAAAUACAGGGACAAGAAGUGAUGAAGGAGUGGAACACGCUGUUGGGCCAGUCCCAUCAGGCGCUUUCCAAUUCAACGAAUAACAAUAUCAACGUCGGCCUCAACAAUAAUCAAAACACGGAUUCUGGGCUCAACAACAGAACGACGCGGCUGCUGCACAGCAGGUCGAGCACCGAGUCGCCGCGUUCGCUCGAUGGAACCCGGGGCCGGCAGGUGUUCAGUCCCCUCAGACCACCGAGAAAUGUACAGUCGCCGAGUAUGGACGGUUCCGGGGACGAGGGUAGCCUGAGGCUCGAACGCGGAACGUACAGCUACAUGUUUCAGGAUAUCGUUUCCAUAAAAACGAUGCUUCUGAAAUUGAAACGGGUCCUUCAGGAGUCAGGAGAGAACGGUUUGACGAGGACGGAAACUCUCAACCCAUUCGAUAAUACAUUAAAGAAUGGUCUCUUCUACAACCUGAACGACGGCAGCGCGACGACGGACGCGACCAUGUCUCCCAACGACGGGAGAGAGAGCGUCGCCGACGAGUUGUCCGACCUACGCCGGCAGGUCGUCUUCCUACAGGGUCAAGUCGACGAUAAGGAUCGCACGAUACAGUCCUUACAGGCGCAGCUGACCAAGUAUCAGAACGCGAGCGGCGCGGAGCUUGCCAGCGAUUUAUCGCCGACGCUCAACGGCAGGGGCGAGCCCCGCGAGACGUCAAACGCGGCCACGCAAACGGAAAAGUUGCGACCAGUUUCGGCAGGACCGUCGAUAUUACAGGGAUUUUCUCAGGAUAACGGCAUGGGUCCCCUCGUUAGCUUCAGGAUCGGGAAGGUAGAGUGCGUCAGUCUGUGUGAUAUACUGUUGGGAUACGUACUACUUUGCGCGUUAAAUGCCCUUAUUUACAUGCACCUGGAACACUUGCAAGCCAUUUGUUCCGCUUUUUAUUCGUUUACGUAGUACCUAGAGUAUAAAAUACUUUGGCUUAAUAUUUUUUUUUCUCAUUUCUCCGAAAUCUGCAUGGACUCGUCGUUAUUGUCUUAUAUAUCCCUAUACAUAUAGAUUAUAUUAUACUGUAAAUACGUACUUGAUGUUGUUGAUGAUUCAAACAUUUAUCUUCAGAUACGUGAAUAUUUUUUCCCGAAACCAUCAAGUACCAUCAAAUUGUUCAAUCAAAAUAUAUUAUACACGUAUAUAUACUUAUGAUCAAAUAAUAAAGUAGUUUUGUAAUGCUCCCUUUGUUCGUAUUAUUCGAUGGUGAUCAAUUUCAAUUUACAUAUGUAUUACUCAGUAACAAACUCUAGCAUGAGGUCCGAAAGUAGCUUUUGAAUUAGCAAAGUAGCCCUCCCGUUUUAUUUGAAUUUUUCGUUGAGAAUGAAAUGUAUUCUUAAAAUAUAAUGGAUUGACAUUGAAUAAUGUUUCAUGCUGCGAUGGUUAGCCAUGCGGGCUGGAAUGAUUCAUGGAGCGGUCAGCAACAGAGUCCGAGCCCUAGUCAACGGCCGGAGCUAAGCUCCUCGAGCAGCAGCAGCAGUACCACCAGCAGCAGCAAGCUCUCCUCGAGUAGACGAUCUUCAUCGGACUCCCACCACAGUCAUCAGCAGCAACGGCCGUCCAGUCUCCGGGGGCUGCGACUACCCAACGGUCAGUCAUCGCCGCCGGACUCGCCCAAGAUCCGCGCGGCCCGCACCAAGUCCGUCGAGAACGACUCGCCGCCGACGACGACGACGACACCCAUCAGGUCGGCCAUACCGACGCCCAGGAGACUCGCCACGCCUACCCUCAUACCGAGGGCCGCGAGAGCCGUCUCCGCCACGGGCCGAGCGCACAACUCCUAGCAGCCACAGAUCUUUUUCGUUUUCGAGAUUUAGUUUUUUGUUUGCGCCGCCGGUUUUUAAAGGCGCGACGACGAGAGCUUUUCGCUGGAACGAGUUUUAUUGUGUUUGUAAAGGUUGUCGCAAGAGGGAGGGAGUGCUCGAAUUCGGAGUUGUCCACUGCAAACGGUUACUUGACGGUAGUGCCUUUGAUAUAGUGUAAAUGUUGAAUCGCAUUUAUGAAAGAGGGGGAAGGAUUAAGCAACCUGACAAACGCCCGAGUAACUUUCGAAAUUGGGAUUUAUAGCGUUCAGUGGAACACACGCUUGGGAGCACUCUCUGAUAGCUUUCUGCAACGAACUCGAUCGGGUCAUUUUGUGAUUUUUUUUUUAUUUUUAAGCUACCCGGAUUAUUUUGGUUUUGAUUUCAUAGAUUUUUAUUAUACUGUUUUUAAUGCGACAGUAAAUCCAUUACAGAUGCGCAAACAGUUCUAACGAGAACUGUUGUUCAAUUUUCUAAUUGCUAAUGUAUUGUACAGUAGUGAUACUGUUGAAUUUACUAUUUGAUUUUUGACUCAAAUUAUAAUCACCGAUGUGUGUCUAUUGUUUCCAGCCAAAAGUUUUCGUCAUCGAAAAUUUGAAGAAAAAUGUAAAGAGUGAGAGUAAAUGCUCAGGAGCGUUUCAUGCGAAAAAAUGAUUUUCGUCUGCCAGCAGAAAAUUCGUUGUGUAUACUUUACGUUUUCAUUCAGUUUUCAGUGUAUAUUUUCAUUUUGCGCGAAUCUUAUGUAUAUAGUUGCAAGUCAGGAUCGCGAGCGUUACUUUAAUCAUUAUUUUCCUUUGUGUAGCAUUCGAACUGUAUGAUCUUCUAGUUUGUCUUCUAUCUUGUAGUCGUGAAAAAUUGUAAAUAUUUCGUUUUAGAUGGAUUUUUAUUUGAUUUUAGCUGGAUGAUGCAGAUUCCUAUUCAGUAAUUUUAAGUGCAAUGUCUUUUCAUAUUGUUUAAGCAUUAUCAAAUUUGUUUUGAUGUUAUUUAUUAUUUAUUGUAAAAAUAUCUGUUGUCCUGUCUUAAUCAAUUUUCAAUCAAUUGACCUUAAUUUUUAUAUGAUAAAUAAAUCGAGAUCGAAUGUUGUAAUAAAAUCAACGAAUUCAAUCAAUUGCUUAAACAAUAUAAAGAGAAACCAUUCAACAGUAUUUCUGAGAUGAGAGAGAUGCGAUAAUACAACGUUUAGUAAACUACUAGCAGGGUUUGUACAGUCUAAUUUGAGCUUCGCUACUUUAAUAAUAGUUUGUAAAUGUUUAAUUUAUUUCUUCGCAUUAUUUUUGGUGCUAUAAUUUUCCGAUUACAUGCCCAAUGCAUAAACACGUUUCGGCGCCAAUGUACUUAACAACCACAAAAAUUGCGUAGUGACAAUAAAAUCGAGACAGUUGAUUCGAGGCAUUAGCCAACUACGUACUUUUUUCAAAAAAUUGUAAUUGUCUUAUAAUUUAUUGAUACUGAAUCAAAAGGUAAUCGUGUUUUUGUGUAAUAAAAGAAGAAAUAACUGAAUUCCGCUUGAUUGUAACCAUCGCCCGAGGUCGAAGGAAAGUGGUUAGGUGACGAUGAAUUUUGUACGAAGAUAUUAUAAAGACGUUAGAGACAGUUUUAGUGGGACUAGUUGAAUGCAAAAUAUCAUAUAAAUUAGGCUCUCGCGCUACAAAAACAAUCAAUUAGGGAUUCAUUGAAAUUAGUUAUAAUGUUGCUUUUUGACGGAUCAUUUAAAUAUCAGUUCGGUAUUUUAAGCGCGAGUAUUGCUUCAAAGAAUUUGUAAGAGAUGCAGUCAAAAGUGCCGAAGUUCCCAAAAAGUAUGAAGACUUUUUUAAUAUUACUAUUUACCAAUUUACUGUUUAAUCACUUAUUAUGGCUUGGACUGUGUACGACAAAACAUGUACUCAGAAUAUAAAGGAAAGAGAUGAGUAAAGCGAAUUGCGUUUCAAAAAACUAAUCUGAAAUACUACUAUAAAAUAAUGCUGCAAUUUAAAUUUAUAAAACGAAAAUAAUGCUAAACGAGACAUAUGCAAAAUUAUCGAUAAUUGAUUUUUAAGUCCAGCCUAUUAGUGAUAUUUAAACAAAUUAUUCAGUUUUCAAAUGUGCCCCAACUAAUAAUGAAUGGUAAAAUGUCCUAUUUAAUCUUGGAUUGCAAGAUGUAGCACUUAUGAUAGUAAUGCCAUUUGGCAUCGUCUUGAGGCUCAACUGCGAAAAACAGUGAAUAAAGUAUAUUUGCUGGUAAGAAA